rnacentral:tRNA from 1 species
GCCGUAGUAGCUUAGUGGUAGAGCACACCCUUGGUAAGGGUGAGGUCGAGGGUCCGAUUCCCUCUUACGGCACCA